GAUGAACGCUAGCGACAGGCCUAACACAUGCAAGUCGAGGGGCAUCAGGGGGUAGCAAUACUCUGCUGGCGACCGGCGCACGGGUGAGUAACGCGUAUGCAACCUGCCUGCUACAGGGAUAGCACCCGGCGAAAGUCGGAUUAAUUCCGCAUAAGACAAUUUUUCCUCCUGGAUACAUAGUUAAAGAUUUAUCGGUAGCAGAUGGGCAUGCGUUCCAUUAGGUAGUUGGUAAGGUAACGGCUUACCAAGCCCACGAUGGAUAGGGGAACUGAGAGGUUUAUACCCCACACUGGAACGGAGACACGGACCAGACUCCUACGGGAGGCAGCAGUGAGGAGUAUUGGUCAAUGGACGGGAGUCUGAACCAGCCACGUCGCGUGAAGGAAGACGGUCUUAUGGAUUGUAAACUUCUUUUCUACAGGGGUAAAAAGAUGGACGUGUCCAUUGUUGCAAGUACCUUAUGAAUAAGCAUCGGCUAACUCCGUGCCAGCCGCCGCCGUAACAC
rnacentral:rRNA from 1 species